rnacentral:rRNA from 1 species
GACGAACGCUGGCGGCGUGCUUAACACAUGCAAGUCGAACGGAAAGGCCCUGCUUUUGUGGGGUGCUCGAGUGGCGAACGGGUGAGUAACACGUGAGUAACCUGCCCUUGACUUUGGGAUAACUUCAGGAAACUGGGGCUAAUACCGGAUAGGAGCUCCUGCUGCAUGGUGGGGGUUGGAAAGUUUCGGCGGUUGGGGAUGGACUUGCGGCUUAUCAGCUUGUUGGUGGGGUAGUGGCUUACCAAGGCUUUGACGGGUAGCCGGCCUGAGAGGGUGACCGGCCACAUUGGGACUGAGAUACGGCCCAGACUCCUACGGGAGGCAGCAGUGGGGAAUAUUGCACAAUGGGCGGAAGCCUGAUGCAGCAACGCCGCGUGCGGGAUGACGGCCUUCGGGUUGUAAACCGCUUUCGCCUGUGACGAAGCGUGAGUGACGGUAAUGGGUAAAGAAGCACCGGCUAACUACGUG